rnacentral:rRNA from 1 species
AGUGGGGAAUAACUAGUCGAAAGAUUAGCUAAUACCGCAUAAGACCACAGGAUCUGAGGAUCUAGAGGUCAAAGGAGCAAUUCGCUCUAAGAUGAGCCCGCGUCAGAUUAGCUAGUUGGUGAGGUAACGGCUCACCAAGGCAUUGAUCUGUAGCUGGUCUGAGAGGAUGAUCAGCCACACUGGAACUGAGACACGGUCCAG